AACGAACGCUGGCGGCAUGCCUAACACAUGCAAGUCGAACGGGAUCCUAGCUUGCUAGGUGAGAGUGGCGGACGGGUGAGUAACACGUGGGAAUCUGCCUUUUGGUUCGGGAUAACCGCGGGAAACUGCGGCUAAUACCGAAUGCCCUCGUGAGAGGAAAGAUUUAUCGCCAGAAGAGGAGCCCGCGUCCGAUUAGGUAGUUGGUGGGGUAAAGGCCUACCAAGCCGACGAUCGGUAGCUGGUCUGAGAGGAUGAUCAGCCACACUGGGACUGAGAUACGGCCCAGACUCCUACAGGAGGCAGCAGUGGGGAAUAUUGGACAAUGGGGGCGAACCCUGAUCCAGCAAUGCCGCGUGAGUGAUGAAGGCCUUAGGGUUGUAAAGCUCUUUUGCCAGGGAAGAUGAUGACUGUACCUGGAGAAUAAGCCCCGGCUAACUUCGUGCCAGCAGCCGCGGUAAU
rnacentral:rRNA from 1 species